rnacentral:rRNA from 1 species
GACGGAGGGCGCAAGCGUUGUUCGGAAUUACUGGGCGUAAAGCGCGCGCAGGCGGGAAGGCAAGUCUGGAGUGAAAUUCCGGGGCUCAACUCCGGAGCUGCUUUGGAUACUGUCUUUCUAGGGACCGGUAGAGGCCGGUGGAACUCCCGGUGUAGCGGUGGAAUGCGUAGAGAUCCGGAGGAACCCCAGAGGCGAAGGCGGCGUCCUGGCUCGCAUCUGACGCUCAGACACGACAGCAUGGGGAGCGAACGGG